AAGCUUAGGAAACACUUUUAUUUAGAAAACUUCUGAGUUAAGGGACAUAAAAGACAACAACCCCAAAAACACGCUGUCGGAAACACCUCGGAUCAAACCAGGGACAGGACAGACCCGGAAGAGGGAAGACAUGCAGUAAAGGACCACCUGUCUGAAUCAGGCGGCCUCCGGCUGUAUGUGACCUCAUCAGCCCAGAGUGAAGGGACGUACAGGUUUACUCUCAGGUACGCAGACGAAGAAGACGUAACCCACAUUGAACCGAAGAUAUUGGAAGACCCUAUUGAAGAGGGAUCUUCUAGCACAGUUGGGAUCAUUUUAGGAGUCGUGGAUCCCGUUAUCAUUUUAAUCAUCGCCAUCAACAGUUUAUAUAUCAUAUAACCGAUAAAGGCCAAAGAAGGACGAGGAAUGAGCUCAAACAACCAAAGUACUGAACCCUCUCCUCAGGAAGUCGUUCCUCUGUGAGAUAACGGGUUCAACCUCCUGACCUUAUUACCGUACCAUCAGACACAGCAGGCAUGACGUAACACAUCUCAGGAAGUGGUGGCGCUCCACUGUGUUGGAGAAUCUCCAUACUGAAGGUCAUUGCAGACGGUUUGCUCAUUUCACGGAGGAGGGCAGAGACAUGGCAAGAGGAACUCUACCACCUAUCUUCGGUAUCCCGAGGAAGCACUAAGUGUCCGAAAUGGAGGAGACAUAAUAUUUGUCUUUUCUUUUUCUUUAUUUUUUAUUGG